rnacentral:misc_RNA from 1 species
AGAUGGAAAACCAAGCUGGCCCCGUCUGAGGUGUGGGGACUCAUCUUAUUACAGGGGAUC